rnacentral:tRNA from 1 species
GGGGAUUUAGCUCAGUGGUUAGAGCGCUUGCCUAGCAAGCGCAAGGCCCUGGGUUCGGUCCCCAGCUCCA